UACGUAGGUGGCAAGCGUUGUCCGGAAUUAUUGGGCGUAAAGCGCGCGCAGGCGGGAUAUUAAGUCUGUUUUAAAAGUUCGGGGCUCAACCCCGUGAUGGAAUGGAAACUAAUAUUCUUGAGUGCAGGAGAGGAAAGUGGAAUUCCCAGUGUAGCGGUGAAAUGCGUAGAUAUUGGGAGGAACACCAGUGGCGAAGGCGACUUUCUGGACUGUGUCUGACGCUGAGGCGCGAAAGCCAGGGGAGUGAACG
rnacentral:rRNA from 1 species